GCUAUUGGAAAACAUAACGAACUUGAACUGAGUUAUGAAGCAAGAGAUAAUUGAAUGACAUAGAACCCACAUUUGCACGUUGUGAUACCUGAGGACAAGAAUUUGUGAAUUUAUAUUUUUAUUUUAACAAAUAUGCCAAUCAAAGAUUCAUUCUUCACUGCAGAAUUAAAGAAAGAGGUGCACCGUGAAAUAAAUUGAUAAUCACUUAUCGAAAUUAUAACUAGGCAAAGUUGUUUCAAUAACAACUCAAAAGCAACUCCACACGAACGAUUUACGUGGAAUCAAAAAAAGACAAUUAAAACAG
rnacentral:misc_RNA from 1 species